rnacentral:rRNA from 1 species
CGUGUAGGCGGCCAGAUAGGUCUGCUGUGAAAACUCGAGGCUCAACCUCGAGACGUCGGCGGAAACCAUCUGGCUAGAGUCCGGAAGAGGAGAAUGGAAUUCCCGGUGUAGCGGUGAAAUGCGCAGAUAUCGGGAAGAACACCCGUGGCGAAGGCGGUUCUCUGGGACGGUACUGACGCUGAGACGCGAAAGCGUGGGGAGCGAACA